rnacentral:rRNA from 1 species
GGAAGCAGGGGACGUAAGACUUGCGCUUUUGGAGCGGCCGAUGUCUGAUUAGCUAGUUGGUGGGGUAAUGGCCUACCAAAGCUUCGAUCAGUAGCUGGUCUGAGAGGACGGCCAGCCACACUGGGACUGAGACACGGCCCAGACUCCUACGGGAGGCAGCAGUGGGGAAUUUUGGACAAUGGGCGCAAGCCUGAUCCAGCCAUGCCGCGUGAGUGAAGAAGGCCUUCGGGUUGUAAAGCUCUUUCAGCCGGGAAGAAAAGGCUGCGACUAAUAAUCGCAGUUCAUGACGGUACCGGAAGAAGAAGCACCGGCUAACUACGUGCCAGCAGCCGCGGUAAUACGUAGGGUGCGAGCGUUAAUCGGAAUUACUGGGCGUAAAGGGUGCGCAGGCGGUUUUGUAAGUCAGAUGUGAAAUCCCCGGGCUUAACCUGGGAACUGCGUUUGAAACUACAAGGCUAGA